rnacentral:rRNA from 1 species
CACGUAGGGUGCGAGCGUUGUCCGGAAUUAUUGGGCGUAAAGAGCGUGUAGGCGGUUAGGUAGGUCCGUUGUGAAAACUCGAGGCUCAACCUCGAGACGCCGAUGGAAACCAUCUGACUAGAGUCCGGAAGAGGAGAGUGGAAUUCCUGGUGUAGCGGUGAAAUGCGCAGAUAUCAGGAAGAACACCCGUGGCUAAGGCGGCUCUCUAGUACGUGACUGACGCUGAGACGCGAAAGCGUGGGGAGCGAACAGG